GACGUAGGGCGCGAGCGUUGUCCGGAUUUAUUGGGCGUAAAGGGUGCGUAGGUGGCGCGCUAAGUCAGGUGUGAAAUUUCGGAGCUUAACUCCGAAACUGCAUUUGAUACUGGCGUGCUUGAGGACUGGAGAGGAGACUGGAAUUCAUGGUGUAGCAGUGAAAUGCGUAGAGAUCAUGAGGAAGACCAGUGGCGAAGGCGGGUCUCUGGACAGUUCCUGACGCUGAGGCACGAAGGCCAGGGGAGCAAACGGG
rnacentral:rRNA from 1 species